rnacentral:rRNA from 1 species
AUUGAACGCUGGCGGCAGGCCUAACACAUGCAAGUCGAACGAGUGGCGGACGGGUGAGUAAUGUCUGGGUAACUGCCCGAUGGAGGGGGAUAACUACUGGAAACGGUAGCUAAUACCGCAUACCAUUGGACUUGCCCAGAUGGGAUUAGCUAGUAGGUGGGGUAACGGCGCACCUAGGCGACGAUCCCUCGCUGGUCUGAGAGGAUGACCAGCCACCCUGGAACGGGGACACGGUCCAAACUCCUACGGGAGGCAGCAGUGGGGAAUAUUGCACAAUGGGCGCAAGCCUGAUGCGGCCAUGCCGCGGGUAUGAAGAAGGCCUUCGGGUUGUAAAGUACUUUCAGCGAGGAGGCGUUACUCGCAGAAGAAGCACCGGCUAACUCCGUGCCAGCCGCCGCGGUAAUAC